GACUGUGUUUGUUAUAAAUGCUGAGAUGCCACACUUUCAAAUGCUAAAAAGGGUCAGAUAGACGAGAGUGACAGCAGAGAACGGGAGUGUGUAACACUGAGAGGGAGGGGAGAGAAAGGAGGGGAGGAAGAGAAUGAUUUUUUUUUAAAGGGGGAUUUUGGUAAAAGGAGAGAGAGGAUGGGAGAGGGAGGGGUAAGGAGAGCAGGGAGCGGAUUUCUCCGAGCCCCCCUUGAAUGAAAGGUGUAAGGCGUUCAAGCUAAGAUUAAAAACAUAAACAACGCUGGGAAGAAGAAUAAAAGAAGAACUGAAUGAACGUGGAACAAAAGGAAGGACUGGUGAUACAUAAGGAGACUGGAAUACUGACACAGAAAGAGCGAGAGAAAGCCAGAGGGAGAGAGAGAGGGAGAGAGAGAGAGAGAGAGAGAGAGAGAGAGAGAGAGAGAGAGAGAGAGAGAGAGAGAGAGAGAGAGAGAGAGAGAGAGAGAGAGAGCGCACGAAGGGGUGGGACGUUGGGGACUGAGAUUGUUGUCUGCGUAACGCACACGGCUCAAGGAGAUGCUGUUGUAGACCUACUCUUUUUCUCCCUCUUUCUUUCUCUCCACCUCUUAAUUUCUCUUUUCUCCUUCUUUACUAUCUCGGGGACAUCGGACGUUUGGCCAGCUGGCCCUCAUGUUGCCGUCAGCCCAGAUAUGCCUCUCCUGUGAUGAGCCCACAGCAUGCUGGAUCUUCCCCCAGAUCUCCCACGCCGUAGGAUAAGCACCCUGGAGACAGAGGUGGGGGGGUCAGAAUGGGGACGACCACCGUCAGUAUAGAGGAGGUUCGGGCUCUAGAGGGAAAAGAGGAGCGAGAGGAGUCCAUCUUGGCCCUGCUGGGAAUCAUUGGCACCUUCUUGAACCUCUUCGUCAUUGUGUUUGUUUACAUUUACACCACUCUGUGAGAAGGAUCCACACAGGUUGGAAGCAGGUGGAGGUAAGAGGUGGGGUCCAACGGAGGUAUGACAGUAGCGUUGAUGUCGCAAAGAGAAGAACGUGGAAGAUGACACUGGGCUGCUCAGGACGGGGAGAGUGAUGCUUAUUCUUGACCUCAGACCCCUUGCGGAUAUAUAUCAACGCGAUGGACAUCUGCUUAACACAGAUCUCUGGACACACAGAGAACAAUUCUUGGAUACGCCAGAUUCGUACCCUUGCAAGAAGUGGUUAUGGGCCAAAAGACCUUCCGUUUACCUGGCUAUGGGAAUUACAUCGAGCACUGCCAAGUUUCGAAUACAAGGACACAAGUACGCAGAAAGACCCUAUUGAUCAAAUACAAUGUCAUAGGGCAACGGAACACCACCCUCCUAACUUAUACACCAAUAGAAAGAAUUCUGCAAUAAAAUGGAAAAAUGGGAAUAAAAUAUUUUUCUAUUAAGAACAAAAGUGAGAAUGAGACACUCCGAGACCCAUCUGCAGGUUCGAAAUGCAGAACCUUGUGGGGACAGGCUGUUUGGUGACAUUUUUCCACUACAGUUCCUCCUCCUUUCUGACUGGUUGAGGGAAGAAAAACAGACAAAUAUGAGUGUGUGUUUUCUCUCUGAUUUGAGUGCAGUGUCAGACACGUUGUUUCUGUGCAAAGGAAAACACUUUUGUAUCAAUACAUGAUUACAUACUAGAUGUACUGUGCCAUAGGGAAUCUGAUCAAUAAAAUGAUAUUCUAUGAA